UACAGGUAGCACAAGUGGUGUCCACGAAUAUUGAGUCUAAAGCGCCCGUAGCCGGCCUCGCACGUCUUCUGUGAAAUCUCACGGCCUAACCGUGAGGCGCGCAGGAGAUACGACGGGGCUUGGGAGUGGGGGAGGUCAGAGGUACUAUAGGGGGAGGAGUAAAAUCCUGUAAUCCUUGUAGGACCCUCGGUGGCGAAGGCGUCUGACCAAAACACAUCCGACGGUGAGGGACGAAGGCUAGGGGAGCGAACCG
rnacentral:rRNA from 1 species